UAGGGAAUCUUCCACAAUGGACGCAAGUCUGAUGGAGCAACGCCGCGUGAGUGAAGAAGGUCUUCGGAUCGUAAAGCUCUGUUGUUGGUGAAGAAGGAUAGAGGCAGUAAAUGGUCUUUAUUUGACGGUAAUCAACCAGAAAGUCACGGCUAACUACGUGCCAGCAGCCGCGGUAAUACGUAGGUGGCAAGCGUUGUCCGGAUUUAUUGGGCGUAAAGCGAGCGCAGGCGGAAUGAUAAGUCUGAUGUGAAAGCCCACGGCUCAACCGUGGAACUGCAUCGGAAACUGUCAUUCUUGAGUGCAGAAGAGGAGAGUGGAACUCCAUGUGUAGCGGUGGAAUGCGUAGAUAUAUGGAAGAACACCAGUGGCGAAGGCGGCUCUCUGGUCUGCAACUGACGCUGAGGCUCGAAAGCAUGGGUAGCGAACAGGAUUAGAUACCCUGGUAGUCCAUGCCGUAAACGAUGAGCGCUAGGUGUUGGGGACUUUCCGGUCCUCAGUGCCGCAGCAAACGCUUAAGCGCUCCGCCUGGGGAGUACGACCGCAAGGUUGAA
rnacentral:rRNA from 1 species